rnacentral:rRNA from 1 species
UAGCCCUACGGGACGCAGCAGUGAGGAAUAUUGGUCAAUGGCCGGAAGGCUGAACCAGCCAAGCCGCGUGAAGGACGAAGGUGCCAAGCAUUGUAAACUUCUUUUGUCAAGGGACAAAAUCAGGCUCGAGAGCCUGACCGAGGGUACUUGAAGAAAAAGCAUCGGCUAACUCCGUGCCAGCAGCCGCGGUAAUACGGAGGAUGCGAGCGUUAUCCGGACUUAUUGGGUUUAAAGGGUGCGUAGGCGGACUGUUAAGUCAGCGGUAAAAGCACGGGGCUCAACCCCGGCGAGCCGUGGAAGCUGGC